UUCUUGGGUGACGAGUGGCGGACGGGUGAGUAAUGUCUGGGGAUCUGCCCGAUAGAGGGGGAUAACCACUGGAAACGGUGGCUAAUACCGCAUAACGUCGCAAGACCAAAGAGGGGGACCUUCGGGCCUCUCACUAUCGGAUGAACCCAGAUGGGAUUAGCUAGUAGGCGGGGUAAUGGCCCACCUAGGCGACGAUCCCUAGCUGGUCUGAGAGGAUGACCAGCCACACUGGAACUGAGACACGGUCCAGACUCCUACGGGAGGCAGCAGUGGGGAAUAUUGCACAAUGGGCGCAAGCCUGAUGCAGCCAUGCCGCGUGUAUGAAGAAGGCCUUCGGGUUGUAAAGUACUUUCAGCGGGGAGGAAGGCGAUGCGGUUAAUAACCGCGUCGAUUGACGUACCCGCAG
rnacentral:rRNA from 1 species